rnacentral:tRNA from 1 species
GGAGGGGUGGCAGAGUGGUCGAUUGCAGCGGUCUUGAAAACCGCCGAGGGUGCAAGCCCUCCGUGGGUUCGAAUCCCACCCCCUCCGCCA